AGAGCAGCAGAAGCUGAGAGGAGGCGGGAGAGCCCAGAGUGAAGACCUGCUGAGGGCUGGGAGGCCUCCCAGCACCCCUGCCUGCCCUGUACCUGAUGUUUGAAGACUAAUUGAAGGAGGAUUACACUGCUAUACUGGAAUCAGAACUCAGGAUUUCAGCAGUCACUCAUGGACUUUGGGAUAACUCCCACUUGAGGAUCCCCUGACACACUAUGGGCACACCCAAAUCCGCAAUUACUGAACCCAUACCGUCCUCCACUGCCUCCAGCUUUUUUUGUGAUGUCAGCUUUUUAAGGCAUGCACCCAACUUCAACAGUUCAUGCUGCUCAAGCCCCAAACUAGUGAUAGCACCACCUUAUGGAAAACAAAGGCAAGGUUUCUAAUUGACGACCCAUAAACUACUAGAAGCAAAGUAAACAAAACCUUCUUUAAAUAAGAAAGGCGUCUAUUAUUUCAAAUGAGAUAGAGGCACACUUCAUCAAACACUAUGAAAAAUCAUGGUAAUAUGAUAUCACAAAAGAAAAAUGAUAAUUCUACAGCAACCAAACUCUAAGAGAAAUAAGU